UGUGCUCAUCAGGCGACCUGGAUGCAAAUCUGAAACUCACUAGCCCGACUCUGGGGGCCACGGAGACUAACUGUAGUCCUCCCUGCUCCUUACUGAGGUCCCCAGGAAUGGGACUCCCAUCAUCAUCACAUUCUUGGCCUGGACUCUGCACACACCCAAAACCUUGGUCAGGCUUCGGCACAGUGGAUCUACCUUCAAACAAACUGCAGAACUGACCACUCCUCCUGGCGGCGGCCCCAGGAGCUGUCAUUGUUGCCUGGUCACAGUUCUUCUAGGGUUUCUGUGAAAUUCACACAGCUCUGUGGACUGGAAAGCUCCCCGGAAACCCUGGCAGAGGGCUGCAAACUGGAGGAGGAGAUUAAGCUGCUCGUCAGGGGGACUCCUCCCCCGUUCGUCCCUCACCAUCCAUCACGAAUGCAGAGGAAGGUAGGGGGUGCUGGUCCAAGACUGGGCCUCAAGCGGUUAUCGUGCUCGAUGAUGGCGAGAAGCCAUGUGGAAGAGCUGGUACAGCCAAAGUCAUCCAUCCUAGGCCAGCCCAUGGCUGGUCCAUCACCGAACACGGCAUCAAGCCCAGUGGGGACAGCAGAGACACCUCCUGACCUGCAGCUACAGUCCACACGAGAAUGCAUGGGUGAGAACAGGCUGCUGACAUGGGGCUGCUCCUACCUCAACUCCAACAGAAGCACCAGCCAGAUGGGCAUCAGGACUGCAGAGCAAGAAUGAGCGGCAUUGGGAACUACAAAGACCAAGAGCCCUGAUGUCUGUGCUGGGAACUGCCCAUGAUGCCUCAUCUCAUCUCUCCAUGUCCAGAACAGGGCCAUGUGGGGGAGUCCUGGACCCAACACACCUCCAUCAAGCUAGCUUUGUAAAAGGAAAGCACACCCAAAUAGAAGACCUAGAGUGAACAUUUAAACUGGGCCUAGUGUUAAUUAAUUUUAAAGGCUAAAAUAAUAAUAAUAAUAAUAAUUCAAUUAUCUCAGGACCUGCUCAGAGACCUCCAGGUGAAAUGGAAGGUUGAAACCUUGAAUGAUGUUCUCCAAAUGUGCCUACUUGUCAUCAGCCAGUCAGAGGUGAGGAUGGUGGGGAUACUUGGCUCAGAUAAUGACCUUUGGGGAGGCUUCCCUGGUGGCUCAGUGGUAAAGUCGUGGUAAAGAAUCUGCCUGCAAUGCAGGAGACCUGGGUUCGAUCCC